UACGUAGGUGGCGAGCGUUGUCCGGAUUUACUGGGCGUAAAGCGCGCGCAGGCGGUUCGUUAAGUCCGGUGUGAAAGCUCCCGGCUCAACCUGGGAAUGGCAGUGGAUACUGGCAAGCUAGAGUGCGGUAGAGGGUAGUGGAAUUCCCGGUGUAGCAGUGAAAUGCGUAGAGAUCGGGAGGAACACCAGUGGCGAAGGCGGCUACCUGGACCAGCACUGACACUGAAGCACGAAAGCGUGGGGAGCAAACAGG
rnacentral:rRNA from 1 species